AUAGAUAUUACAUUUUUUUUAUAGGUAAUGGGACCGGAACCUUGAACCUAGUUAUGACUCCAUAAAAUAACAUAUCUCAUCAAAUUGUUAGGAACAAUUGAUAUAUUUUAAUUGAAAUGUCAGAAUGCCAACUCCUUCAAUAUGAAACCCGGGGAGAAUCAAUGAAUCAAUCAACAAAUAUAAAGAAAUCAACAAUGAUAAUAAUAAAUAAACACGCAGAGAAUCAAUAAAUCAAUCAAAUAUAAAAACAAAUCAACAAAAAUAAAAAUAAACAGACUUUUGUAUUAAGUUUGAAUGUACUCAGCGGUGAAGAUAAAUCGGUUCUUCAAAUUAAUUCUCAGCACAUGAUCAAAAACCUUGUUCCAUCCAUCAAACAGAAUAAAUAACAAUAUCGAUGCUCGAACAGGAUGCAGCAGAUUCGUUGACGGUGGCGCCACCGUGAGUCUGGUCGUCGUCGUUGUUAGAUACCGGCGGAGGGUGGUAGAACUUGCGUCCUGUCUGGGGGCAGUUAGAGUGAAACCUUGCAACAAUCCUUGCACCUUGGUCAAGCAUCUGCACAAUCAUGAACUUCCCCAUAGCACCCAGAAAUAAAAAAACCCUCUUUUUUUUUCUUUUCUCUCAGUAUUGAUUUCAGAGAGAAGAAAAAUAAGAGAGAGAAAAUGAGAAAAUUUGUUUUGAAAAGGUGAAAGACAUGUCAAUAUGAGAAUGGAGAGAUUGUUUGAAACUUUGAAUUAAUAUGAGAGAGAUAAAUACUUGCCAGCUGGCAUGGACAUUUAUUUCCCUAACUCUAUUUGCCUUUUUUGGCCUUUCUCUAUUUUCUUCACUUUUUUUUAAUCUUAUUAGUUGGAGUUAUAUAAAUAUUGUUACUAGUUGGUGUUUAUUUUUGACUUUGUUGGAAAACGCGUUUUUUACUUUUACAUAUAACCACCAGCUCCAUUUUUAAAAAAAAAUUGUUACUAGUUGGUGUUUGUUUAUUUUAUUUUACAUUCAACCAAAGCUUAUAAAUUUAACUAUUUUUGUUAAUGUUAUUUUGGCAUUAGGAUAGUCUUUAUUAAGCUAUAUGAUUUCAUUGUAUACAGUUUUUACUAAAAGAAUAUAUGUAUUAGUGAUAUGUCAGUGUGUCAUGAGUUGAUAACUACAAAAGUCAAACGUAUAUCCUUAUUGUUUUUAUAUUUUAUUACAAAAUUUUCUUUACAAACAUUUCCCUAAUCUUGCUUCAUUUUUUGUUUUGUUAUCAUUAUAUUUUUAUUUUAAUGCCAUAUAUGUGGACAGACGUAAAAAGAAUUAAGUAAACUAGUAUGAAUUGAAAUAAAAAAAAGAGACAUGUAUGGUUUAAUUCUUUUCAAACAUAUGAUAGUUAGGUAUAGCUAAUAUUGUUACUUGAAUAUUUUUUAUAACUAAAAUUAUUUUCUUACCUACCUUAUAAAUACGAAACUAAUCUCUCUAAAUGUGUAUAUUUAUUUAUCAUAAUAAGUGUUACUUUUAGAAAUCAAAUUAGUAAUAUUUUAGUUUAUCUAAGAAUUUAGUUACACCUUACACGACUCAACUAAUAUUUUGUUGGUAUAUUGUUACUUGAAUAUUUGGUACAUUUCUAGCGACUUCUCUACAAAAUAUUGAUAUAGAAGGUGUUGUGAACUUUUUUUGGUUAUCUUUGUUAAAUUUUAUUUAUUCCUCGUUCUCAUUGAAUUUUUGUCCAUGAUGCCCCGCGUUCUGACUUUUGCACAUUAUUUUGCGUGUUCACCGCCCAUAUAUGUAUAAUACAAGAGUUUAAUAGCAUAAAAUUUGUGUUUUUAUGUGGUUAUUAUUUCAUUCAUCCUUUACAAAUAUUACUUUUGGUCAAUAAUCAAUAAUGAUUAAUAUUUCAUUAUGGAUAUAUAUUGCUAGUGCGUAAAAUCUUUACACCAUCACUACAUAAAUAUUAAAUUUAUAAUGCAAAGGAAGAAUCUCUUCUAAACUCUAAACUACCAUAUCUUGUGUAUGGAACUACAAGGUUGUGCAACCUCCUUAGCACAAAAUUGAUUUCCUCACUAUAAGUUCUUAGUUAGUUUCCCACAUGUUGUGCUGGGAGCUAGCCUUGAUCAUCAUUAGACCAUCUUACCCUAUUAAUCUUCAAGACUUUUUGAUAAGUCACUAUCAUUAGUUGUCCGUAUUCAUUUCCCACAAUAUUUCAAUUUUGCAUCUUUUCAUUUACAAACAUUCCUCCAAUGCAAAUAAUCUAUUCACACUAACCAAAAUUAAAUCUUUUAAUCAAUCACCAAGAGAUCUACCCGAUUUUAGAUACCUUUUAAUUGGUCAUCUUUACCUGUCUUAGCACAUAUAUUGCCUUUGAUAAAAAAAAAUCAGAUAUUGAUAGGGAUUUUCUUGUGAGGCUCAAUCACAACAACAUGUCACAAGUGGUAGGAUUUCCUAACUUAACUAUCAUUGUUCGAGGAUGACUUAAAGGCAAUGUCCACUUGCAGAAAUAUGUGACACUAAUAGGGUAAAAAGUUCAAUCAUUAGACCUCACCCACUCAUCCACACUUUAUUUGACAAACUAUUUAUCAAUAUUUUACGCACUAGUGAAUGAAUAGUAGAUUAAUCUCUGUAUUUAGAUUAAUCCUAUUCACACUCAGUUGAGAACAAUAGGCAAAACAAUAGUGCAUAAUACCAGACACCAUCAUAUUUCAAUCAGUACAUAUCAAGUUAUACAUUGGGCUAUCUCCUGAUCAAUUAGUUAAUGUAGACAUUUAUCAAUUACAUUACAAGUGAUCACAAUAUUCAAUUGUUAUUAGUUAACUACAUUUUAUAACGAUGUGUUACCACAUACGAACACUUCACAUAAUGGUAACCACAAUUUGAUAAAUUACCAAUUUAUAACACAUUAAGUAUUGGUGCAGCGGAAGCGAUCGUUGCGCAACGUUGGCAACAAGCAAUCAAAUAAAAGUAUAUAAUAAAUAUAAGAGAAGAAACAAGAGAAUUUGUUAACGGGGUUCAGCCAAUUGUGCCUACGUCCCCUGGAGCGCUGAGCGGCUACCAAGAUAUUACUAGAGAAUAAGGAUUACAAACCCUAGCACACCCAUGGGCCCACCUGCCCAUGUGGUGUUUCUAUUUGGUGCACCUUAUAACAAGGGAUCUGAGUCCAAUAUAUAACAUUGAUUACUCUACUCUAUUUCAAUACUAGACAAUAUUAGACUAAUACAAUAACAUAUUUCAAACAUCUCAACAUUAAGCAUACGAAAUUCCACUGCACUGAACAUAAAUAAUAACUCUUAUAUGGAAAGGUUAGGACUAUACACGCUAAACCAACAAUUUAUAACAUAUUUAUUGGUGUUGAACCCAAAGUUUUUACUUUAAAGUUUCUAAAUUAUCAAUUUAAAAUAAGAAAAUAAAGAAUUGCUCUACUAAGAUGACUAUUGAUUAAAGACAAUUUCAUGGAGAAUUUUUGCCAAAAUACACUUUAGUAAAACCCCUAAUAUUUUUUAUGAAAUAACCUUAGCCUAUUAGACUCUUCAACUUUGAGGUCCUUGGAGAACUUUAAUAAAAUGAUGUAAGACCACUUGGUCGUUUUCCUCACUUUGACCACUUUAUUUUAUCAUUUAUGGUUCAACCACUCCAUUGUCCCAUCCAGAGAUAAAGCAUUUCGUUUCUAACUCAUCAUUAAGUUUAAAUUAAUUGAGGGCAUGUUCAACAAUCGAUAUUGGAAACAAAUAACAACAAUAUGUUUUUAUCUAGUUUAGCAUAUCAAUGCUCAAUACAUAUUGAGCCUUCAAAAUAUGAUUUUUUUUCCCCUCUCCCUUGAUUGGAUUUUAUGUUUUGAGCAAACGAGGCUUGAAUGGUAAUAUUUUGAUUUUCGAUGCGGAUUUUAUUAAUUAUUUAAUUGAUAAGUGAUUAAUUUUAGAAAUUAAUCGGUAUUGAUUUAGGUUAAACCUCAGUUGGGUUUUAGUCAAUGAUUUCCUAAUUUAUGGUAAAUUUUCUGCGACGAAAAGUCUUCGGACCUCUUCUGGAUCCAAAUUCACCUUAAAUACGGCCCAAAAGGUGAUUUUUGAGUUCUGUAACUCGGAAUCAAAUUCCGAUUGCGUCAUUGGUUUCGCAAUAUUAUUUCGAGUCCAAGUAGACACCAAGUCUGUCCAUAACACAUUUCUAGAUAACACAUUUCUCACUCUUAUUUUACAUUCUAGCAUUUCUAGAUAUUCUUAAGGUAGUUUCCUCAUUGUGUUCUCAUUCUCUUCCAUUUACAUUAGUAGAUAGUUAUCAUUGUUGUUAUAUUGUUGAUGGGCUGUUUUAUUUUAAUGUUUGGAUUCAAAAAAUUUGUUAUUGUUAAACCAUGUAAAGCAUGGAUUUUUCCACUUGAUUUUUGCUUGAAAAACCAUAGCCUUGAAUAAGUAUAGACUAGUUGUUUUUCGUAUUUAAUGCUAGAAAUAUAAUGUUGGUAUUUGAAUAUGGUUAAUGGUGAUGAUUUGUAUAUCAAAGGAACCUUUAAAGAGUUUUAGACCAUGAAAAGUUUGGAUUUUUCCACUUGUUUUUAGCUUGAAAAAUUAUAGCUUUGAACAAGUGUAUAAUAGUUUAUUUUUCUAUUUAAUGCGAAAAAAUAUAACGUUAGAAUUUGAAUGUGUUAAGGUGAUGAUUUGCACAUCAAAUGAACAUUUAAAGAGUUUUUAAACCAUGUAAUGUUUGGAUUUUUUCACUUGUUUUUUUGCUUGAAAACCCAUAGUCUUGGACAAAUUUAGAAUAGUAUGUUUUCGGUUUUAAUGCUAGAAGAUUUAAUUUGGUGUUUGAAUGUGUUUAAAGGGGAUGAUUUGUACAUCAAAGGAACCUUUAAUGUGUUUAAGGAUAAGUUGAAAAAUCAAAACUUUCCUUGGCAUUAGGUCUAAAAAUCAUGGUCUAUAUAUGUUUAGGAAAAGUUUAGUUUUUAUCUUUGAAAUUUAAAAUGUUUAUGAGUUGAGUGUUUUGAAAGUGUAAAGUAGUGUUGUUAGUGUGCUUAAUGGAUGUGUUAUCAACACUAAAGAACCAUAUUAAGGAAAAUGAUGAGUUUUGUUGAAAAAAUAUUGUUGUAAUGUGUUAUGAGUUUAAUUAGUGAAUGAUAUCUUUUGACUUCUAAGAUCAAGUAAUGAUUUGGGAUAAAAAAUGACUUAUAAAUGUCUUGACUUUAUAAACUUAAAGUGUUAUGAAGUCUUCAUGAAAAUAAUAAAUGGUGUUAAAGUUGAAAGUACAAACUUUGUUAAAGUCUUGGUUUAAAAAUGAUUGUUUUCUUAAAACAAGACUUUCGAUGAUAAAGGAUGGUUCAAGAAUAUAUAAUCUUGAACUGGGUGGAUGAAAGUGAUUAAGUUCUUCACGCGUUUCAACUUAAGCAUCAUAAAACAUAUCAUACAUGGGAAGUGUAUGGUAAUUUGACAUAGAAUCGGAUGAGUAUACCUCACUAGGCUCAUCUUGCUCACGUACUUUGCAAGAUUUCAGAUUUUGAACCAUUAAACAAAUCUUGUGUGAUUCUUCAUUUUCCGAGAUGCUUGUUGAUGAAUCGUCCUCUUCGGGUUCAUCCCAAACGAUAUAUGUCUUCUUAGUUUUGAUGUCCCUAGAUUCUUUCUUAUACUCUUGUUCAAUCUUCUUGGAAAAGGUAGGGCAUGUGUACCUCAUGCGUCCUACUUUCCUACUCUUAUGGUAAUAUGCAUUGUCUUUGGGAUUUUUGCUCAUUUUGAUUGAACUUUCUUCAUCUUCCUUAUGAAACUCCUUGGUUCCUCCCUUAUUUCUUAAGAACUUUAUGAAUUUGUUGAUAAGGAGAGACAUGGCUUCAUCAUCCGUGUCGAAAUCAGACUCAUCAUUAUCAUAUAUCUCCUUUUGACUUCUUGAAUGUGAUCUUGUUGUUUUGAAGGAGGUUUCAUUGAUGUUCUCGUCCAUUUGUUCACUGAGUGUCAAACGUCUUAAUUCCAACUCAUGUUCUUGAAGUUUUCCAAAUAAAGUUGGGAGCGUCAUUUGUUCCAAGUCCUUUGACUCCAUGAUGACAGUCACCUUGGGUUGUCAUUUCCUGUCCAGACAUCUCAACACUUUAACAGUUAGUUCAUGUUUAGCAAAUGAUUUAUCUAAUGUAAUGAGAUGGUUAAUAGUGUGAGUAAAUUGCUUUUGUAAAUCAGAAAUAGACUCAUGUGGAAACAUGCGAAAUAACUCAUAAUCAUGCAUCAAUGUAUUCCUUCUAGAAUGUUUGACCUCACUAGUGCCUUCAUGUGUUACUUGUAAAGUGUCCCACAUAUCCUUGGAAUUAUCGCACUGAGAAACUCUAAAGAACUUAUCGUAUGAGAGUGCGGAGGUUAUAAUGUUUUUUGCUUUCAAAUCAAAUUGCACUUUUCUCUUUUCCUCGUUGGUCAAGAGAGUUAUAGGUUUAUCUUUCGUUUUUACGUUCACUAUGGGUAGUGGAAUGUAAGGUCCAUUUUCUAAGGAACCCCAAAUUUCUGUAUCAAUGGCCUCAAUAAAAAUCCCCGUACAGAUUUUCCAGUACGUGCACCCCUUGCCACUAAAAAUUGGAGGGCAGUCAAUGGAUGCGCCAUCACCGUUAAAUGGGUAAGAAGAACCCAUGGAAAAAGUGUCUAGGAUCAACGAUCUAAGCGGCUAAGCUAGCAUGGUCAUACUAGCUCUGAUACCACUUGUUGGGUCACAGGGCUUUGUCACUCACCUAGAGGUGGUGAAUAGGUGAUAUUGUACAAAUUACCGUUGUUCGAUAAACAAAGAGGAAAUAAAAAGUUACACAUUGUUUAAUCGAUUAUACACAGACUUAAUCAAUUAACUCGAACUAUUAUUAAUUGAUUAACUAAAAAAAUUAAUCGAUUAUGUAGUUUAGUUUUAGUGAAAAAACAGUAUUCUUUCGAUCUCUACGAUUACCAAGAUUCAACCAAACUUAUAUGCACUUAUUACAAACGUUUGCUGAGAAUGACAGUCACAUAUCUCAAAAGAUAUUAAUUCUAUAUUUAAAAAUAUUAAGUGGUAUCCUUUGUAGUAUAAAAAAAAAAUGUUUAACCAAGUUUUUUUUUGAAGUUAAACUCACAUAUGGGAAAAGAGGGAUUUCAUCUACUGAUCUUAAGUAAUGAAUUUGAUCUCAGCAGAUCUAUUUGAAAGGUUAAAUGAACACCACUGAUUCGGUUUGACUCGAAAAAAUGCUCUCUCCUUGAUUUCUUAAUUCCUCGCCUAUCCCUAAUAAAAUAAUCCUUAUAGAUGUACAUAAUUGUCCCUCCAACAAACAUAAAAGAAAAUUGAAAGAUAAUUUGUUUUACUAGAUCAUUCAUAAUUCAUUUAUUGAUUUAUUUUUAAUGGAUUAAUCAUAAUUGAAUAUGAUACUAUAUGAAAUUAUAUAAAAUUUAUAUAUAUUUUUUGGGAAAAGUAUAACCCUUAAACUUUACACCUUUUUCAAAUGAGUUAUAUUUCAUCACAAUCAAACCUUAAAUUUUCUUCCUUAAUUAAAUAUGUCAUUCGUUUAAAUAUCUCUUAACAUAUUUAACUAUGAAAUUUGCCUUUAGUUUUUUUAAUUACACCAUUAAUUUAUUUAUUUAAAAAUAUAAUUAAAAAUAGCAAAUAUAUGGGAAAUCUACUAUUCUUCCACGGAUGAAAAUUUCAAACAACCGACCCCAUAUUCAACAUUUCAAUGCUAGAAAGAGAAAUAUACAUUGACUCCAAAAUUCUCAACAUAAAACACCUUCUCCCCUUUAAUAUUCUACUUCAAACCUAUAAUAAAUUCUUCCAUUUAACUUUACCUGCAAAAUUAACAAGAACAAGAAAACAAAUCACUGAUAACCAUUUCAAUUCCCUCCUAUUUCUCGUUUUUUGUUAAUUUCCAUAAUUUUAUUAUCUCUCCUAACUAUACAUAGAUGACAUUAUGCAAUUUCAUUUUUGGUUUUAUUGUCAGAUGAAUAUUCAGUGCGAUGAAACACAUAUUAUUCAGAACAUAUGUUGAAAGUUUGAAACCAUGUAUGUGAUAAAAGUAUUGCUCUAGAUUUAGAAUUAACCUCACUAUCGUUUAUUAUGAAUUAAUGAGAGAAAAUAUGGUAGUUUAUGUUUGUUCAUAGCACAAUGAAAGAACUCAAAGAAGUAACUACAAAAUAAAGUUAGAAAACACGAGGGUGUCUCUGCGAAGAAGGAAUUAUAAAUUAAUGGUGUGAAUGAAAAAAUUAAAGUUCAGGAAUUAUGAUAUGAGCAAGAGAAGUUUAAGAAUGAUAUGGUUCACUUUUCCCAUAUUUUUUUCCUCAAAACAAUAUACCACAUCAAUUGAUAAAAAUAUAUAAUUUAAUUGAAAAUGCACAAUAACCAACACCCAAAACACGCAAGGAAUCAAUCAAAUGAUUCAAAUCAAUAAAUAAAAAAUCAUAAACAAUAAUAAUAAAUAACUUUUGUAUUAAGUAUCCAAUGUAAUUGGGUGUGAAAUUAAAUAGGUUCUACAGAUUACAGCUCAUCAUAAGAUCAAAAAAUUCGUUCCAAUCAUCAAAGAGAAUAAAGAACGACAUCAUUGCUCGCACCAGAUGCAGCGGAUUCAUUGACGGUGGCGCCGCCGUGAGACCGGUGGUCGUUGUUGUUAGAGACUGGCGGAGGGUGAUAGAAUUUGCGUCCUGUCUGGGGGCAGUUAGAGUGAAACCUUGCAACAAUCCUCGCACCUUGGUCAAGCAUCUCCACGAUCAUGAACUUCCCCAUGGCACCCAAAAACAACACACCCUCUUAAAAGGAAGAAUAAAGAAGAGAAAUUUUGUGUUAUAAGAAGACGAAAGACAUGAAAAAAAAAUGAGAAUGGAAAAAUUGUUGGAAAUUCUGUGUGAGAUUGAAAGACAAAGCGGCGCUGUAUAUAUAUUUGCUAGCUUGCUUGGAAUUUUCUCGAACCCUAUUCUCCACUUUCUCGGGUCUUUCUCUUUUUUCUAUUUUUUUAUUUAUUUUUAAAGGUAUUAG
rnacentral:lncRNA from 1 species